rnacentral:rRNA from 1 species
UACGGGGGGAGCAAACGUUGUUCGGAAUCACUGGGCGUAAAGGGCGUGUAGGCGGCUGGAUAAGUGAGAUGUUAAAUCCCCCGGCUCAACCGGGGACCUGCAUCUCAUACUGUUCAGCUCGAGCACAUCAGAGGAGACUGGAAUUCCCGGUGUAGCGGUGAAAUGCCUAGAUAUCGGGAGGAACACCAGUGGCGAAGGCGAGUCUCUGGGAUGAUGCUGACGCUGAGGCGCGAAAGCCAGGGGAGCAAACGGG